ACAGCCUGAACCUUGGAGAACACCUCCCUUUCAUAUGACUUCUGCAAAGGGCGUGUUUCAGCUCACAGGGACAAAGAGUCACUGCACCAGAGAACCAGAAAGAGAUGUUUCAGGAAACUGCCGCAACUUUGUAGAGCACAGUUUGAAAGCUACUGCUGAAGAAAUAUGUCACCUUGAAGGCUUUUUAAACACGGGAUUUGCAAGAUAGGGUUUGCAUUUUAGAAACAUUAUUCUGCUUGCUACACUACUGAGUUUGGAUGAGGGAGACUUGAAGGCAAGGGAGCUCUGUUAUGAAAUAACUACACUUUUCUUAUAGAAGAAGACUAUAAUAGACUGUAUCAAAAAUGUCUACGUUCCAUAGCAUUGGUGGAACCAUGCAUUACGUCUGAGGACAAGGACGGGAACCUUCUGUGGCGUGCUGUCAACAGCUUUAAAUAGGCAUUGAGUUUGAAGAUAGAGCACAUGAAGGGCAUGUUACAGCAGAGCUGAAGGGAGAACAGUUGAUGGGGUUUGGUGAUCAACUGAUUUGGAGAGUAAAGCAAUGAGAAGAAUGACAUUCAUGAUUUGAGCAGUUCACCCAGUGGCCUGGUUGGAUGUUAGCCAUUGGCAGGGCAAGAAAUCCAACAAUCGACUGUUGAAGAAUUCCAGAGAAUCAGUCUGGAUCUCUUUCACACAGACAAAGUCUUGUUCCAGCUAAUCUUAGGCUCCUAUGCGAGAGGAAAGAUGCUGGGAGGCCAGCACGGUGGCUCACACCCAUAAUCCCAGCACUUUGGGGGGCCAAGGUGGGCAGAUCCCUCGAGCCCAGGAAUUCAAAACCAGCCCGGGCAACAUAGUAAUAACCCCCAUCUCUACAAAAAAUUAAGAAAAAUAAUUAGCCAGAUGUGUUGGUGCAUGCCUUAGUCCUAACUACUCCGCAAGCUGAGCUGAGAGGAUCACUUGAGCCCAGGAGGUCAAGGUUGCAAAGAGCCAUGAUCCUGUGCCUAGGCAACAGAACGAAAAAGAUGUGAGAAAUACUCAAAGUCUUGGUCUUUACCCAGAAGAAUCAGAGCAAGGAAAAGAAAGAUCUCUUUCCCCAGUUUGACAUCCAUCUUCCUAAAUUUGGACAAAGGGAUCCUAAACCACAGCGUCCUACAGUGAGUCAAAA
rnacentral:lncRNA from 1 species